AUGUCGCAAGCGUUAUCCGGAGUUAUUGGGUUUAAAGGGUGCGUAGGUGGCCUAUUAAGUUAGCGGUGAAAGUCUGGGGCUCAACCAUAGAAUCGCCGUUGAAACUGGUUGGCUUGAGUACGAUUGAGGCAGGCGGAAUGCGUGGUGUAGCGGUGAAAUGCAUAGAUAUCACGCAGAACCCCGAUUGCGAAGGCAGCUUGCCAAGCCGUGACUGACACUGAGGCACGAAAGCGUGGGUAUCGA
rnacentral:rRNA from 1 species